AACAACCUUGUCGAUAUUAUCAGACUUGUUGUAAGGUUGUUCCAAUAAGUCGGAUAAAGGCAUGAUAUAACAAUAUUGUUACAACCUCGUGUCGUCAACCUUGUAAUAUUCUUGUUAUAUCAUGACUGUAUCAGACUUGUUAGAACAACCUUGUAACAAGUCUGAUAAUGCCAUCAAUUUAGCUUGUU